AGGACGAACGCUGGCGGCGUGCUUAACACAUGCAAGUCGAGCGGUAAGGCCUUUCGGGGUACACGAGCGGCGAACGGGUGAGUAACACGUGGGUGAUCUGCCCUGCACUUCGGGAUAAGCCUGGGAAACUGGGUCUAAUACCGGAUAUGACCUCCUAUCGCAUGGGUGGGUGGUGGGAAGUAUUUAGUCGGUGGCAGG
rnacentral:rRNA from 1 species